rnacentral:rRNA from 1 species
AUACGGAGGGUCCGAGCGUUAAUCGGAAUUACUGGGCGUAAAGCGUACGUAGGUGGCUUGAUAAGUCGGAUGUGAAAGCCCUGGGCUCAACCUGGGAAUUGCAUUCGAUACUGUCUGGCUAGAGUAUAGUAGAGGGAAGUGGAAUUCCGGGUGUAGCGGUGAAAUGCGUAGAUAUCCGGAGGAACACCAGUGGCGAAGGCGGCUUCCUGGACUAAUACUGACACUGAGGUACGAAAGCGUGGGGAGCAAACAGGAGUAGAAACCCCGGUAGUCC